AAAUCACACACACACACACACACACACACACACACCAAGAGUUAUUAUACCUGCUUUAGGAAUAUCGAUGUUUACAGAGUGGGAUGGAAAACGAGUUGAGAUCUAGAGCGGAUCUACUCAGUUCAGCAAAAUGUUUUUACAGGUUCAAUUCGUUCAUUAAACAAUUCUAUGAAACGGACCUAUUCCUACAGGUCCGUUUCAUAGCAAAAAAAUGUAUUUCAGGGCGGCGGUGGCACAGGGGUAAUCGACAGUCAUCAAGGGUUCGAGUCCUGGCCUGUUGACUUUUGCCGCAUAUCUUCACUGUAGCCCCUGGUUAUAAACCAUGCUCUUAAGGCCCUUUAAUAUUUACAAAAUAUUUACAAGGUUGGUUGUAUGUACAUAGAAAACAUAAGUGAGAAACUUGUAUUAUUGUUUUUGUACAUUUUUGACCCGGUUACUGUUGUGAGUAGCGUGAGAAAAAUGAGAAAAACAGAAAGUCGAAGCUUUUCUGGACGGGACUUAUGUUCUUACAUAAAUGUAUUCUUGUUUGAUCAAUUAUCUCAUUAGUUUUAAAGACUGUAUUGAAUUUUCUAUCUAUGAAGUAGUUUGGGCUAACGAGGGACAAGUAAACUCAACAGAAGGAGAGAGAAAAAAGAACAGAACAAGGAGAUGAUGGGAAGGAGAAGAGAGAAGAACGCGGGAAACGACRAGGAGGAAGCGAAUGGAGACCACCGCUAAUGCGAGCAGAGGUUGAAGUGGGAGCAAAACUUGGACUGUUUUAUGCGCGUUCUGCACAACUAAACUUGCACCCGGUGGGUAGGAAACAUGCAGAAGUGUUUUGUAGUGAAGAACUGCGGAGGUGAACUGCGGCUGAUCCGAGGUGGCUAGAGGAACGUGUCGACAUGGCGAUGCUGGCUUUAGCAUGAUGGAGGAGGAGUCCUGCAGCUCGUGUGGCGGAGUUCUAACAUAAAUUGGACCUUGACGGAGAGGACGUCGGCUGAGCGAGCAGGUCUGAGUCAGUUUUGUUGCCUAAACGAGGAGAAGAGGAUUGUUGUAGCGACGUCGCACCCGAGCUUCAUCAGGCCUGUAACGAAAACUUGAACCGGUACCGGACAGUGUGAGAGUGUGAGAGUGUGGGCCCAUGUGUGAUGUUGUGUUCAAAACUGUAAAUUCCGGUAAAUGUAUGGAGUUCUGUUAAUGACUAAAGUUGCAUUCCGGUUAUAUUGAAACAACAGUUCAAAGGAAGGG